UAAGUUGGACGUGAAAUCUCCCGGCUUAACUGGGAGAGGUCGUUCAAUACUGCCGUGCUUGAGGCCAUAAGAGGGGUGUAGAAUUCCUGGUGUAGUGGUGAAAUGCGUAGAUAUCGGGAGGAAUACCAGUGGCGAAGGCGAUCUUCUGGUCUGUUUCUGACACUCAUGUGCGACAGCUUGGGGAUAAACGGGAUUAGAUACCCCGGUAAUCCUAGCCGUAAACGAUGUGAACUUGGUGUUGGGGAGUUAAACUCUCUCUGUGCCGAAGCCAACGCGAUAAGUUCUCCGCCUGGGGACUACGGCCGCAAGGUUAAAACUCAAAGGAAUUGACGGGGGCCCGCACAAGCAGCGGAGCGUGUGGUUUAAUUCGAUGCUACACGAAGAACCUUACCCAGGUUUGACAUGCACGUGGUAGGGAUCCGAAAGGUGACCGACCCUUCAGGGAGCCUGUACAGGUGUUGCAUGGCUGUCGUCAGCUCGUGUCGUGAGAUGUUCGGUUAAGUCCGCUAACGAGCGCAACCCUCGUUGCGUGUUACAAGUGUCUCGGCAGACCGCCGGUAUUAAGUUGGAGGAAGGUGGGGAUGACGUCAAGUCAGUAUGG
rnacentral:rRNA from 1 species